rnacentral:rRNA from 1 species
UACAGAGGGGGCAAGCGUUGUUCGGAAUUACUGGGCGUAAAGGGCGCGUAGGCGGCCUGUUAAGUCGAACGUGAAAUCCCCGGGCUCAACCCGGGAACUGCGUCCGAUACUGGCAGGCUUGAAUUCGGGAGAGGGAUGCGGAAUUCCAGGUGUAGCGGUGAAAUGCGUAGAUAUCUGGAGGAAUACCGGUGGCGAAGGCGGCAUCCUGGACCGAGAUUGACGCUGAUGAGCGAAAGCUAGGGGAGCAAACGGG